rnacentral:rRNA from 1 species
UACAGAGGGGGCAAGCGUUGUUCGGAAUUACUGGGCGUAAAGGGCGCGUAGGCGGUCGUGACAAGUCACUUGUGAAAUCUCCGGGCUUAACUCGGAACGGUCAAGUGAUACUGUCGGACUAGAGUACAGAAGGGGCAACUGGAAUUCUCGGUGUAGCGGUGAAAUGCGCAGAUAUCAGGAGGAACACCGGUGGCGAAGGCGGGUCUCUGGGCGAGUGAACUGACGCUGGAGGAGCGAAAGCCGUGGGGAGCGAACAGG